ACCCCACCUCUUUUCCUCCUCUGCCAUCUCAGGCUGGCGGGGAGCGGGUUUGCGUCUACGGAAAGCCGGCGACGAUGCUGCCGAAAAUAACCCGGGUGCUGCGCAGGGCGGAGGGGGGGCGGGCGAGGCCCGCCUCGGCCGCGCCCGCACUGACCGCCACCCACCCCGUGCGGCCGGGGGCGUCCGCGCUCAGAGCCACUCACCCACACUCCUCGCCGCCGCGCAGCCCGCAGCCCGGAAGACUUGCACGUGCGUGUUUUAGCCGUUAACUCCCGGCUUCCGUCUCCAAACGCUGCCUUCCACGCCCCGGAUGAGAGAGAAAUGCUCUUUGGAGCCGUGCGUGGAACAAUCCUCUCCGUGCUCCGGAACCAGACCCACAAUUCCAUCGUUAAGCCGCGGGCUCUGGGGCUGCUGGCCUCAGGGUCCCAGCACCCCCACUUCUUCAGGCUCCGGAUCUGGGGGGCCCCCCGGAAAAGUGCCCGCCUCUUAAAGUUGCCGGAGGGGCUCCCUGGGCUGAUAGGUGUGGCAGGGCAGGGUAAGGAUUGUAUGAAAACCGACUCGCGGGGCACAGUGGCCCCUGGGAAGGACAUUCCUUCUCCCACACCCAGACUUGGAAAUCAGCAGACCCCAAAGUUCGGCGCGUGAGAGCAAAUGUGUUUGCAAGCGGAUGAUUCCUGGUGACCCUCACAGGUGCAUAUGCCUCUCCUCCCUUCCUCCCAGACCCAGGCACUUUGGCCGCAGGAAACCCGGAACCGUCCGGGGAUUGUUGGCUAAUAAGAACACGUUUGCUAGCACAGAAGCUCACGUGAAGAGUUGUUCUCCCACCACCGGACACCCUGGGGCACCUUCAACUGGCCCAUUCCAACAUUCUCUGCCAUCCGGAUGAUGGACACGGAGUACGACUUGGAAGUCCCGCCGUGGCAGCCCCCGGCUGCCCUUCCUUGGUGAGUGGCUCAGUGUGAAAGAGAACGCGCUCUGUAAGUCUCCGGAUGGCGCUCCUGGUGGAGACCUGGUGAGCAGAGAAGGAAAAACUACCCCGGGAUGAGCCUUUACUCCAAUGAGGUCCCACGGAAUCACUGUGCUCCCAGGGGGCUGGCGGGUCACGGGGGCGCGUGGCGUGGCUCUGGGUUGGUCUCAGCUGCUGGUCUCAGACUGAGCGGGAGGCGCGGCAGUAGCCUGGGCUGGGGAUGAGCGAGGUCGUCAAGCCCGUGUGGAAUCGCCAUCACGCUACGACUGGGGCUCCUUCCGUGAGUGGCGUGUGCCGACAGGGGAAGCGGCUGGCUGCCACCUGCAGAACAGGUGUCUCCCCAUCUGCCGGGCAUGCGUGUGGAACACGGAUAUUCCCACACCUGAGCCCGCUCCAAAAAGUCCAUCCAGACCCCCUUGACCCCAUCCUCCGAAGUGGUUCCUUCUCGGUCCCUGAUCAGCAGCGUAGGGGAAUAUGUCAGCUCACUCUCCUUCCAAGGAAAGUGGAAAACCAAACAUGCUGCUUGCAGUCACCCACUGGGUGGGCUCCCCUCCACCAUCACCACCCCCACCCCCAACUGGGGCCCGUUCCAGCAGUGCCCCAGCCAAGAGCGUCACCGCACACAGAAUCAUGUGCACGGCAGGCUCCAUUUCUCAGCCAUCAGUCAGUGGGUUUUAGGUUGCUGGUCAUAAAUCUAAAGAAGCCAGUGGAGGGAAGGUGAGGGGGUCAGCUACCUGCUCAGGCAGCCUAUUUACAUGUUACUUGAGAACAAUCUCGUCUCAGCCUGCACAGGCGGCCACAACAAAAUCCUACAGACUGGGGGGCUUUAACAACACGUGUAUUCUCUUGUUGUUCUGGAGCUGGAAGUCCAAGAUCUGGGUGCUGGCAGGGGCUGGUUUCUGGUGAGGCCUCUGUCCUGAUGAGUGCGGGUUCAGGCUCACUUGCAAUGAUCCCCUAAAGGUCUAGUGUUUUCCUUUCCCUUGUGCACGAUCUGGGGAGUGUGGCUACAGGUCCUUUUCUGAAAGGCCAGGGGGAAACUUUGCGAAUACUCACGGUGUUAACACAGGAUCCUUCCCCAGGGACACCCAACCUCUCCUUAAUUAAAAGGAUGUGGUGUCUGUGAACUGAUUCAGGUCUGACCGUCGUGUGAGGGCGGUGACUUCUAGGAUAGUGACUCAAGUCCGCUUCUGCUCACUAAAUUUAGAGUUUGCUAUUUUGGUCAGACGGGCUGAAUAGGCCCUUAGGGGGCUUCUCAUCUAAAGGCUGAGGGAGACAGGCAAGAUGGAGGGGAUUUAUCAUGUGCACCCCUCCCACACACCUGCUGUUUCCCCCAGCAUGGCAUAAAGGCUCUCCCCUCCCCGAGGCAUUAAGGCAGACAUUGUCAGGGCAGGCGCCUGAAUCCCGGGGAAGCCUUGGAGUGGCUGUUCCCACCACUGGUAGUGGUGCCACCAUGAAAUGAGCAGUCCUGGAUAAGGGAACAGCAUGAGUACAGUCACUAUAAUCACAACUUCUCUAUAUAUUUGAAUGUUUUUCAAAACAAAAGGUAAACAUGGAUAUGAAGAUUAUAUAAAGCACAACAACCGUUUACAACAUAAAAUUGUACCGGUUCAGAGGCAGCUGGGUGGCUCAUUGGUUAAGCAUCCAACUCUUGGUUUUGACUCAGGUCAUGAUCUCAUAGUUUGUGACAUCAAGCCCCAUGUCGGCUCUGCACUGACAGCGUGGAGCCUGCUUGGGAUUCUCUCUUCCUCUCUCUCUGCCCCUCCCCUGUUCUCUCUCUCUCUCAAAAAUAAAUAAAUAAACUUAAAAAAAAUAUUGUGCCAGUUCAGUGUCUCUAGCAGCAAAUUCAAAACAAAACAAAACAUAGGAGUGCCUGGGUGGCUCAGUCAGUUAAGCAUCCGACUCUUGAUCUCAGCUCACGUAAUGAUCCCAGGGUCAAUCAGGAGCCCUGCAUUGAGCCACAAUGAGCAUGGGGCCUGCUUGAGAUUCUCUGUGUGUGUGUCUCUCACUCUCUCUCUCUCUGUCUCAAAAUAAAAAUUGGAAACUCAGACAGGGUUGGAAAAACACUCAUGAACAGAGAGUUCUGGUUCUAGAUAAAAUGGAGUGAGCACACUCCCCCCCCCCCAUUUCUGUCCUAAAUGCAGCCAUAAAAUCUGAACAGAAAGCAUGGAGUAGCUAUUUAAGAAUUCUGGAAGGUAAAUGGUAGCAGGUAGAUUGGGGGGAAAGACCAGAAUUUGGAGCACCAUCACCCGGUUGUGAGUUUCUGUUACUUCCCAGCCUGGAUUAAAUCCAGCCCCAACCUGGAAGUGGGCAUGGGCUGAACAGAGAGCAUUCUAAGAGACGCCUUCCAAUUCUAGUUCAAGAAAUAGUUAAGGGCAAAACUAAAAGGCAACUGAUGUAAUGGGAGAAGAUAUAUGCAAAGAGAAUAUCGGAUAAAGGGUUAGUAUCCAAAAUCUAUAAAGAAUUUAUCACACUCAACACCCCAAAAAUGAAUAAUCCAGUGAAGAAAUGGGCAAAAGACAUGAACAGACACUUUUCCAAAGAAGACAUCCAGAUGGCUAACAGACACAUUAAAAGAUGCUCAACAUCACUCAUCCUCAGGGAAAUACAAAUCAAAAUCACGAUGAGAUACCACCUCACACCUGUCAUAAUGGUGAAAAUAACUCAGGAAACAACAGAUGUUGGCAAGGGUGUGAAGAAAGGAGAAUCUUUCUGCACUGCUAGUUGGAAUGCAAGCUGGUGCAGCCAUUCUGGAAAACAGUAUGGAGGUUCCUCAAAAAAUUAAAAAU